AUACUUACCUAGCAGGUGAAAUUGCAUAAUCACAGGGUAGUUUUCCCAGAGUUAAGACUCCAGAUAUGCCGGUCCCUGUAUAUUCCCCAAGGAUGGGAAACUCAACUGCAUAGAUAUGUGAUAGUUAAGCCCCCAUUCCUGAC
rnacentral:snRNA from 1 species